CCUGUCCUGGGAAUGAGUCUGCCUAAAUUGAAUGGUUUACGAUGCUCCAAGCUGGUGUAUAGCUCUGCAGCCACCUCUGCUGUGGCAGCCGAGUGCAUCUGUCAUGCAGCAUCUGCAGACGUCCAUACUAUUGUUAUCUUAGGCCCUGGGAUUUUAUUGUCCCCAAUACUUUAUUUACUUCGUUGAGCAAUAUUGAAUUUUCUUCUGCCUGACUUCAGCUGUGAGACUGAAUCAUCAGCAGGUGCUUUAAAUCGUUCUCUUGAUGAUUGCUUGUUUCUAUUUCUGGUAUCAUUUUAUCUCCGAGGUCCUGCUUUGGGUUUUCAAUUUUGGCCGUCAGACUGUGUUGCUCGUCGCUACAGAAGUUCAACACCAAAGAAAUCCAAAUAGGGAAAGGAGAGAUGAAAAUCGGGAAUCAAGAAGAAGGCCUGUUUCCAUCUCAGCCACACUAUCUUAUAUUUUUAUGAUUUUCAAAGCUUUUGUCAUGUGAUUCUGCCCCCACAAAGGCAUACUUCCUAACUGGUACACCCCAGAAAACAAACAGGACCAACUUCAAAUCCAAACUUCUGAUUCUGAUCACCAAAGUCAUUGAUCAUUACAUCAACAACAGACAGUUAUCAAUCAGCUUUCUCAUCACAUUCUAAUAGUAAAAGCCAGAAUAGAAGAAAAAGAAGAAAACAUCGGGGAUUCAAAUUGCUCAGGCUUGGUGAGCAACAUACUAAACAUGAUUUGUGUUUAUGAUGCCUUUUAAAUCAUUUAUAUAAGUACUAUAUAUGAAGGAGUGAGAGGAAAUGAGUGUUAAUUCCUCUAAACUAAUAAUCUCUUAUGCAAUUGUGACCUAUAUCUAAGAAGGAAUUUUCCAAGUAAAAUCAGCUUCUUAUUUUCAUCAGCUGGAAGUAGAAAUUGUUAAAGUUAUGAUGUUGAUAGCAGUUCUAAAUAACCCUCUGAACCUGGGACAUAUCAAAAAUAUCAACUCUGUAUAUAAAAAUGUUAUUUCAGCUAUACAUAUUUUCUGUUUCCUCUUUAGGAUAUCGUAAAUGGAAAAACCUAGAGAUAUACAUAAUUCAUAAGUAAUAAAGUGAAAAAGGAAAACAGGGAUGAUACAUCUUAAGUGUCUAGAAUACACAAUCAAAUAUUUUCCCCUGUAGGAUUAUGCUGUAAGAAUAUUUGCUUUGAUAUGCAUCUCAAAAUUCUAGUUCACUGAAGUUUAAAGCAACUGCAGACCUUACAUCUCAUUUAAAAUGCAGUAUUGUGAAAUAGUCUUUAAUUUGGUGAAAGGUAAAUCAUUACAGAAUGUUACAUAUCUCAAAUCUGUUUAGAGAUAAGUUAAAUGCAACAUUUAAAAAACCAGAAUAUAAUGUAGUAACCCAUCCUACCAUUUAUUCACAUACUUAUGGUUUAAAAAAAAAUAUUGUCAUAUUUUAUUUACCAGUAUGUGAAAAGAAUUAAUGUAUAAUAAUAAUAAAUGUCUCCAAAAUAAAUACUAACCAACAUUUCAGCUACAUUGAAAAAAACAGCUUCUUAAAAAUGAAAGAUUAUGAAACAAAAAAGAAAUAAAUGCUUAAGAUUAAAAUAGAUGCUAAUCAUGCUUUCAAAAAAUAAAAUAAAAAUUAGUUUAAAAUUACUGUCAUGCUAAUUUUGACUCUGCAGCAGAGGAAAGAAUGCAGAACAAUGCAUCUGUUCUCUUUAAAAUAGUCAAUUCAAUACCAUUUGAUUUUUGUUGACUAUUUACUAAAAAAAAAAAAGUUCAACUUAAAGAAAUCCUCAAAUAGAAAUCUUUAUACAACCUUAUCAUUGUCCUUCACUUUCUUUUAGCUUUCACAUGUACUAUUUAUCUAUUCUCAGUUCCAUAUUAUAAGUCGAUACAUCUGUAUAUAAAAUUCCUGCUUAUAUAGAUGUUUAGUAGUUACUAUUAAAAACAUCUAAAUUUUAAAGUAAAAAGUAUUGUACUAUAUCUAAACUCUAGUAGAGCUGAUUAUAUACAGUGGCCAGACACCAAAAAUCAUUUUAAGAGAUGUUUGUUUCACUCUAGCCCAAUCCAGGCUAAGGGUUAAUAUAAAUAAAGUUGUUAAAUUGUUGCUUAUAUAACAAAUGGUCUAAGUUUUAUUCAAAUAACUCAUUUAAUUAACAUAAGAACCCCAUGGGUCAAUAUUCCCAUUUAAUUCAUCUUAACUUCAUAAUAUCUCAUUUUGCAGAUGAGGAACCUAAAGCUUAAAGAGAUGAAUAACUUUUCUAAAAAUUAUCCAGCAAUCAAGUAGUACUGCUCAUUUUCGAAACCAGGGCUCUUGGGUAGAUAGUCAAUGAUCUUGUCCUGUAAUCAUGAUAUGCUACUUCUCACUCUAAUCCAAAAUUGCCUACUAAAACACAUACGUCUUAGCUGAAUUGAAAAGCUCAUUAAAUUGCUUAUAAAAGGCUUCCUGAAGGUGAUUUUUCUGGCCACCCUUAUCUCAUGAAGACCAAGUAGCAUUUUCAUUAAAAUUAGAUAUCACAGUCAAACUAUUUGAUGUUAUGAAAAAGCUCCAGUAUAUGCACAUUCUAAGUACCCUCUAAUAAAACCAGCAGCCAGAAAAAACAAUGGCAGCCAUGCUACUCAGUUCUGAUGUUUUUCAUUUCACUGCCAAAAAGGGUAUGACUUGUUAGCGCCUUCCUCUGUAAACCCACAUUUAUUUCAGAUUCAGAAGCAUAAACUUUUGCAAGCCAGAAUCGGGUGGUAUGUCUUAUGCUUUUAUUUUUAAUAUUAGCUGAAGGAAAUCUCCAGCAUGAUGUUUUUAUUUCAUCUGGAGAAAGGUCAGAAUACUUACUGGAAAACCUGAAAUAACAAGAAAAAAAUCUUUGGCAAAUUUUAAGGUGAUAUUACGACAAAGUAUUUUUUUUUCCCUAGGAUCUGACUCUCUGUAGUUAGGAAUUUAGCAAAUCUAAGAAGAAUAUUCCCUAAACGGUGGUGCAGACUUGGGGAAGUAAGAUCUGCUUUAGCCAAGACCCUGCUCCUAUGCCAAUGAUGCCAUGUGCAGAUUUGACAACCUCCUCAAAAUGUGACAACUUUUAUCCAGUUAUUAAAAAUCUUUGACUUUUCAGUGAAAGUUAAAUAAUAACACUUAUGAAAUAUGUGAAAUGUCAGAGGAAAUUUUUGUGAUACUUUUACUAGAAGGAAUGGGCAAAUUCUCCUGAAUAAUUAAGAUUGCUAAUCCCCAUUUUGAUGGCUUUCUGAGCAGUACAUUUAUCUGCGGUAACUGAUAGAAGAGGUAGUUCUUUAAAAUUUAAAUUUCUAUACAUAGGAAUCUGACUAUUUAAAUCAAUUACAUUACACUUGCAGAGUGCUAUAUGUAUUGCUUGCUGUUUUAAUUAAUCUCUUUAUAUAUCAUUGUUUUUAGAACAUAAAGUUCAAAUAUUUCUAAGAUGAAAUAGAAUGUCUCCUAGUAAGCAAGACUUGGAUUCUCACUUUCUGCCCAAAUUUCUACAAGGAUAGCCUUGGCUCUGACAAUAAGCUCUGUCUAUGAACCAUAUGCUGGUCAACUAAAUGCUUUAUUGCAUUCCUCAAGUGUGUUGUUUGCAUAUAAAGUUUAUGAGAGUAUCCAAACUUCAGCGUUAUAAUAAUUAUACCUCUCUCCACUCAUGGGGGUUAAUGUUUUAUCUUUCAGCCCGUAUGACUCAUGAAAAGAACAAUUUAUUUCGUGAAAGAAUCACCGUAUGCCUGAGCCAGUGCUAUUCUUUUAAAUGAAGUGCCAGGAAACUAAGUGUAAUUGCAUGCAUUAGGAGGAACUGUCCACAUUUGGAAAAGAACUGGCUGGGCCAUUAGUGGCAUUUUACUCAGAGUGGAAAUUUUUUUUUUCAUGCAAUGGACAUAAGAAAGGAAAGAAUCUGCUGAGCAAGGGCAUAUUUCCCAAAUAACUUAUCAGUUAGGAUUACUUUCCUCUUUUCAGAGCUGAGUAAUGCACUUCCUUGAAUAUUGUACAAAAUAUAAACUUAUUUAUAAGACAAAAUUUCAAGAAUUCUAGCUUAUAAACAGUUUCAUUUCUGGAAU